rnacentral:rRNA from 1 species
UAGGGAAUCUUCGGCAAUGGACGAAAGUCUGACCGAGCAACGCCGCGUGAGUGAAGAAGGUUUUCGGAUCGUAAAACUCUGUUGUUAGAGAAGAACAAGGACGUUAGUAACUGAACGUCCCCUGACGGUAUCUAACCAGAAAGCCACGGCUAACUACGUGCCAGCAGCCGCGGUAAUACGUAGGUGGCAAGCGUUGUCCGGAUUUAUUGGGCGUAAAGCGAGCGCAGGCGGUUUCUUAAGUCUGAUGUGAAAGCCCCCGGCUCAACCGGGGAGGGUCAGUGGAAACUGGGAGACUUGAAUGCAGAAGAGGAGAGUGGAAUUCCAUGUGUAGCGGAGACAUGCGUAAAUAUAUGGAGAAACACCAGUGGCGAAGGCGGCUCUCUGGUCUGUAACUGACGCUGAGGCUCGAAAGCGUGGGGAGCAAACAGG